rnacentral:sRNA from 1 species
UCUAAUGGUGAAAAGCCUGUGGUAGAGU